GAGAGGGUGGUCUAGCGGCAAGGACAACGGCCUCACACGCCGUAGAUCGGGAGUUCGAAUCUCCCUCCUCUCA
rnacentral:tRNA from 1 species